rnacentral:rRNA from 1 species
GACGAACGCUGGCGGCGUGCUUAACACAUGCAAGUCGAACGGAAAGGCCCUGCUUUUGUGGGGUGCUCGAGUGGCGAACGGGUGAGUAACACGUGAGUAACCUGCCCUUGACUUUGGGAUAACUUCAGGAAACUGGGGCUAAUACCGGAUAGGAGUUCCUGCUGCAUGGUGGGGGUUGGAAAGUUUCGGCGGUUGGGGAUGGACUCGCGGCUUAUCAGCUUGUUGGUGGGGUAGUGGCUUACCAAGGCUUUGACGGGUAGCCGGCCUGAGAGGGUGACCGGCCACAUUGGGACUGAGAUACGACCCAGACUCCUACUGGAGGCAGCAGUGCAGAAUAUUUCACAAUGGGCGGAAGCCUGAUGCAGCAACGCCGCGUGCGGGAUGACGGCCUUCGGGUUGUAAACCGCUUUCGCCUGUGACGAAGCGUGAGUGACGGUAAUGGGUAAAGAAGCACCGGCUAACUACGUG